UCCUAUUCCCUGGAUCCAGUCAAAAGGGUUUGAGAGCUUAAAGCGGUCAUUGCAUACUUCAACAGAUGAUGAUGGUUUUGCAGAAUUAGGCUUACCGGAGGAAAGGGUUGGAGGUAUUAUUCGGAAACUGAAGACAGGAACUGAGCAUUUUGUGAAAAUUGGUGGUGCUGAAAAGAAGCUAAAUGGGUCACAUUUUAAGGCAGACAGUCACUUUAACAUCAAGGAUGUAUCACAUAAAGUUGCGAAGUCUUCUGUUCCUUCUCUAGAUCUUCAGAACAAUAAUGACAAAAAAAUCUAAUUUCAGAGCUUCACAUUCUGUUACGAUUAAGAAUGUUCUUUCUAUAAUCAACUGUCUCGUGUCGAAGAAAGCAAUUUCAGUUUUUGGCAAGGUGUCAAAGUUUUCCAAGAGGUCAGUUCCAAAUGGACUUGAUUGUUGUGACAUUGAAUUUAAGCUUGAGAAGUCAAGAAAGGAAGCAUUAUCAAUGGGCUAUGUAACAGUGAAGGAACAUCAGCUUAGAGACUGCAG